ACCAAAUGGCGGAUGAAACUUAGCCAUUUUUUUGCGAUUUUUUUUGCGUCGGCUGACUAAGCGGUCAGCCAUGUUUUCAUUUCGUUCGUGGCAGGUGCUGGUUUUUUUUUAUCCGGGUCGCAAAAUUGGCCUCAGAUGGCCAUCUUCCGGAUUGGUCCGAUGGUCCGACGAUACAUCUUGCCAGUUCAUACUCAAGCCGGCGGAUUAUCUGGUCCGCAAAAUUGGCCUCCGAUGGUCAUCUUUGGGGUCGAAUAGUCUUCCGACGGGACCACCGAAGGGAAGAGCAAUCUUUCUACUUCAUACUCAAGCCGGCUGCUUGCUCCGAUUAUCCGGGCUGCAAAAUUGGUCUCCGAUGGCCAUCUUUGGGAUCAAA